UACGUAGGGUGCAAGCGUUAAUCGGAAUUACUGGGCGUAAAGCGUGCGCAGGCGGUUUUGUAAGUCUGUCGUGAAAUCCCCGGGCUCAACCUGGGAAUUGCGAUGGAGACUGCAAGGCUAGAAUCUGGCAGAGGGGGGUAGAAUUCCACGUGUAGCAGUGAAAUGCGUAGAGAUGUGGAGGAAUACCGAUGGCGAAGGCAGCCCCCUGGGAUAACACUGACGCCCAUGCACGAAAGCGUGGGGAGCAAACAGG
rnacentral:rRNA from 1 species